CUCCCUGACCCAUGCGUGUCGCAAUUCUUUGCUUCAGCCUCUGUCGCCUUGUGACCUGCAGGUCGUGGGAGUCUGUGGGGAGGACGCCUGGACACCCGGAAGCCGGGAGAUGGGACUGUUGAUAUUCAAGAAUGUGGCCAUUGAACUCUCUCCAGAGGAGUGAGAAUGCCUGAACCCCCCUCAGCAGAUAUUUUACAGAAAUGUGAUACUGUUUUCUGGGAAUUGCUGCUUUCGUGAAUGAGUUUCAGAUUCCUGCUAUCAAACACAAUUUGAUGAUGUGUUAACAUAGAAAAGAAAAAAUUAAAGACGCUUCAUUUUGACAAC